CAGCAGCCACGGGAAUACGGAGGGGGCUAGCGUUGUUCGGAAUUACUGGGCGUAAAGCGCACGUAGGCGGCUUUUUAAGUCAGAGGUGAAAGCCCGGAGCUCAACUCCGGAACUGCCUUUGAGACUGGAAGGCUUGAACGUCGGAGAGGUGAGUGGAAUUCCGAGUGUAGAGGUGAAAUUCGUAGAUAUUCGGAAGAACACCAGUGGCGAAGGCGGCUCACUGGACGACUGUUGACGCUGAGGUGCGAAAGCGUGGGGAGCAAACAGGAUUAGAUACCCCCGUAGUCCCUGUCUCUUAUCC
rnacentral:rRNA from 1 species